rnacentral:tRNA from 1 species
AUGGCCCCGUGGUGUUAACAUGUGUGGUUGCAAACCACGAGACGCAGAAUAAUUCCUGCCGGGGCUUC